rnacentral:rRNA from 1 species
UACAGAGGGGGCGAGCGUUGUUCGGAAUUACUGGGCGUAAAGGGCGCGUAGGCGGCCUCUUAAGUCGAACGUGAAAUCCCCGGGCUCAACCCGGGAACUGCGUCCGAUACUGGGAGGCUUGAAUCCGGGAGAGGGAUGUGGAAUUCCAGGUGUAGCGGUGAAAUGCGUAGAUAUCUGAAGGAACACCGGUGGCGAAGGCGGCAUCCUGGACCGGUAUUGACGCUGAGGCGCGAAAGCCAGGGGAGCAAACGGG